rnacentral:rRNA from 1 species
ACGGAAGGCAGCAGUGGGGAAUAUUGCGCAAUGGGCGAAAGCCUGAUGCAGCGACGCCGCGUGAGCGAAGAAGUUAUUCGUAAUGUAAAGCUCUAUCAGCAGGGAAGAAAAUGACGGUACCUGACUAAGAAGCUCCGGCUAAAUACGUGCCAGCAGCCGCGGUAAUACAUAGGGAGCAAGCGUUAUCCGGAUUUACUGGGUGUAAAGGGUGCGUAGGCGGCAUGGCAAGUCAGUCGUUAAAGACCAGAGCUUAACUCUGGACCAGCGAUUGAAACUGUCAAGCUAGAGUACAGGAGAGGUUAGUGGAACUACUAGUGUAGAGGUGGAAUUCGUAGAUAUUAGUAAGAACACCAAUGGCGAAGGCAGCUAACUGGCCUCAAACUGACGCUGAGGCACGAAAGUGUGGGGAGCAAACAGGAUUAGAUACCCUGGUA